AGUAUUAUGUCUGAUAAAAGUAAUAAAUUGUAAAUUUAUUUAUAAGAAAAUUUUCUUUAAUACUA
rnacentral:tRNA from 1 species